rfam:Myotis davidii contig74716, whole genome shotgun sequence.
GGCAGUUCUAGGGUGACACCCUAGAAUCAGGCUCCCUCCUCUCUGGUUCCAGGUGCAUCACCUGAGAACUGUA